CAUUCUGGGGACACUGAGCUGGUGGGGUUGAACCAUGGCCUGGGUCCCUCUUCUCCUCGUGGUGCUCGCCCACAGCACAGGUUCCCUGGUCCAGGCAGCGCUGACUCAGCAGCCGUCCUCGCUGUCAGCCAACGUGGGAGAGACGGUCAGGAUCACCUGCUCUGGGCUUAGCAGCAGCUAUGCUUAUGCUGGCUGGUAUCAGCAGAAGGUCCCUGGCAGUGGCCCUGUCACUGUGAUCUACGAUAAUACCAACAGACCCUCGGGCAUCCCUUUGCGAUUCUCCGGAUCCCAGUCCGGCUCCACGGCCACGUUAACCAUCACUGGGGUCCAGGCCGAGGACGAGGCUGUCUAUUUCUGUGGUGGUGCUGACAGCAGCAGUGAUCCUGCUCAGAGCUGGGAGGUGUCCCCGCUCUGUGCCUGGGGACAAGCCCUGCUGCAUCUGGGGCGGAGGGGCUGGGUGUGGAGCGGGGAGGGAUGUGCGGAGAGAGGCGCAGGCAGGAUCUGGCCGUGA